CCCUUAGAUGUCCUGGGCUGCACGCGCGCUACACUGAUGUGUCCAGUAAGCACCUAACCUAUUCCGAGAGGAGCGGGUAACCUUAGCAAAGCACAUCGUGAUGGGGAUAGAUUAUUGCAAUUAUUAGUCUUGAACGAGGAAUUCCUAGUAAGCACAAGUCAUCAGCUUGUGUUGAUUACGUCCCUGCCCUUUGUACACACCGCCCGUCGCUCCUACCGAUUGAAUGUUCCGGUGAGCUCUUCGGACUGCGCGGUCUGCAGUUUCUGCGUUCCGUGCGGAAAGUUGUGCAAACCUUAACAUUUAGAGGAAGGAGAAGUCGUAACG
rnacentral:rRNA from 1 species